rnacentral:lncRNA from 1 species
UUUAUUUCUUUUAUUCCUUUUUUUAUUCUUUUGUUCUUGCUUUAGAGAAAGAUUUCAAAUAAGAGAUAAGAUAGGUUUUGUUUGGGUCCACUCCCAGGAAAGAGAGGUGCGUCACAAUGGACAACUUAAGUACCAAAUCUUUCCUAGUCAGAGUAUAUUCAAACUAGACUCAUGUAUUUCUCAAGAGAAAUUCUUAAUUAAAGCAAGAACAAAGAUUUUGCUAACAAAAAGGAUAACUAAAAGCUACAAAAUAAUUCAAACUAAAUUAAAUGCAUAUGCGUUAAAAAAAUAAAAACAAAUGAAAAUUAAGAAAAAUAAAAGUAAAAAAUGAGAAUCAAAAUAUUCAAAAUACUUAUGGUAGUUCCCCGGCAACGGCGCCAAAUUUGAUAAGCUGUCAUGGAGCUAUCAAAUUAAUACUACUUUU